rnacentral:rRNA from 1 species
UACGAAGGGGGCUAGCGUUGUUCGGAAUUACUGGGCGUAAAGCGCGCGCAGGCGGUCCUUUAAGUCAGGGGUGAAAGCCCAGAGCUCAACUCUGGAACUGCCUUUGAAACUAGAGGACUUGGGUACGGGAGAGGUGAGUGGAAUUCCGAGUGUAGAGGUGAAAUUCGUAGAUAUUCGGAAGAACACCAGUGGCGAAGGCGGCUCACUGGACUGGUAUUGACGCUGAGGUGCGAAAGCGUGGGGAGCAAACAGG